UCACACUUGACUUAUUUUUUCAGAAAAAAGCACUGCCUUCAGCGCCUUUUUACAUGCAACCCUAUGGGAAAAGGAAAAAGGCGGACGCCUUUUUUAAAAAACUUCUAAAAAAGCGCAGCGCCCGAUGCCUUUUUGAGUUCAAUUUUCUCAACUUUUCAGAAAAGCGCUGGGUGACGUCAAGCGCCUUUCUGACAACUGACCAGUCAGGACGAGGAGAGUAGGUACGCGUGUACCUUCCCUAGUAACCUUCUACCUUAGUUACCAGGCUAUGGCUCCUCAAACGCCAAAGCUAAAGCAAGUAAUUGCAUUUUAUUUGCCAUAGUAGCUAGCUGUCAAUAAGUAACCAACGGAAAAUAACGGAUAACAAUGUAUCGCUAGAAUGUAUGAUUCCCGUUCAGGUUACAGAAUUCUCGUCAGAAAGGCGCUUGACGUCACCCAGCACUUUUCUGAAAAGGCAAAAGGCGCUCAAAAGGCGCUGAAGGCAGCACUU